GAUUUCUGUUGCUUUGCCCAACAUCCGUUUCAUCCUUUCUGAGGAUAGCACCCUGAGCCCAUCUCCCUGUCUUUCCUUUGAUGCAUUAUCCUUCUGGCACUCCAUGGGGUUCUGACGGGGCUGCCAAUCACAGUACUGAGCCCUACUGCUGGCCUCAGUGAUGAUUGGCCUAAAUAUUGGGCAUGUGACCCAAGAAGACCAAUCAGAAUAUUUCCCUGAGUGUUCGUGUGUGGAUGAAAAAAGAGGGGGGAGUUAUUCAUGCUUGGGGUUGUAGGACUGAUAUAAACCCUCUCUCCACCCUCAUCCCUCCUGUAGAGAUACUUCCUCAUUUUUUCACCUCACUGUGGGGGCUUAUCUAGGGCAGAAGAGAGAAGCAGAGCAGAAGACAGCAGGAAGGAGGGAGGGCAGGCAACCGUGGGGCCAUAUCGCUUCAGCACCUCAGAUGUUGGCUCCAAUCAAGGCUUCUUAGCGUGUGAACCCCCAAACUCCACAUAUUUGGGAGACUCCCGGGAUGGGCAGCACAGUUCGACAGGAAUGCACCGGAUAAUUAAAGAGAUGAUUUUAUUCAGGCUAUUGCAACAGGGAGGACAUUCAUUAACGCAGAGGAACAUCUCAGAGGGAAGGAAGGAUGGCCUGGGGUUUUUAUGAAGGCAAGGGAGUGGGAAGCAGAGUGGACAAGUCGUCAUUUGUGAAGGGGGGAUGAGAAAACGCUGAGUAUGUGAAGGCAAGGUGGUCCUUUGCCGUCUCUCCACCAUCCAGGCUCUCUGGAAGCAAAUGGCUCAGAUAAACUUCAACAUGGUCAACACGUUACCAAAAAUCUGGCCUCCCCUGUAGCUGAGAGGGGAGGAAAUAAGUGAUGAAACGAGGUCCCCAGUAGGCAGAGAAGGAAGGGUGGGGGGAGCGGACAUACCUCCAGGAGCUCUUUGGGCAAGCUGAAAUUUUACUCCCCAAAUUCAGACAUCUCCCCCUUCUCCCCGUCUAUUCUUUUCUCCCUCUUUCUCUCAAUUGGCAGGUGGGUGAGGAUAUUGUUGACCGAAAUAUCCAGAAAACUGACCACCACCAGAAGAUUCCAGCCACAUCCUUGGGGUUCCUGAAAGAUAUCUUUUGAAGAGAAAGAAAAGUUUAGACGCUUGAAUAGCUACAGUCACAAUGAAAGGUUAUAAUUUUCUUUGGCAGUAAGAAUAGCCUUUUUCCUAACGUCUUCUUUGAUAAAGACAAGUCUGCUUCCAGCACCCCUCAUUUCAACCAAUCCAGCCAGAUGGGUGCAUUUUUUGUUUGUUUGUUGUUGUUGUUGUUGUUGUUUUUGAGGAAGAUUAGCCCUGAGCUAACUACUGCCAAUCCUCCUCUUUUCGCUGAGGAAGACUGGCCCUGAACUAACAUCAUGCCCACCUUCCUCUACUUUAUAGGUGGGACGCCUACCACAGCAUGACUUUUGCCAAGCGGUGCCAUGUCCGCACCCGGGAUCCGAACCAGCAAACCCCGGGCCUCCGAGAAGCGGAAUGUGCGAACUUAACCACUGUGCCACCGGGCCGGCCCCCAGAUGUGUGAGUUUUUCCAUUCACAUGACACGGGGUUUAAGGGUGGAAGGAAAGAUGAGCUGUUUCCCCCAUUACUGACUCUUUCCACCCCGCAGAGACUGUUUGUGGAG
rnacentral:lncRNA from 1 species